rnacentral:rRNA from 1 species
AACGAACGCUUGCGGCAUGCCUAACACAUGCACGUCGAACGAAGUCCUUCGGGGCUUAGUGGCGCACGGGUGCGUCACGCGUGGGCAUCUGCCCCUUGCUUCGGAAUAACAGUUAGAAAUGACUGCUUAUACCGGAUGAUGUCGAACGCCCAAAGAUUUAUCGGCAAGGGAUGAGCCCGUGUAGGAUUAGGUAGUUGGUAGGGUAAAGGCCUACCAAGCCGACGAUCCUUAGCUGGUCUGAGAGGAUGAUCAGCCACACUGGGACUGAGACACGGCCCAGAAUGCUACGGGAGGCAGCAGUGGGGAAUAUUGGACCAUGGUGGAAACCCUGAUCCAGCAAUGCCGCGUGAGGGAUGAAGGCCUUAGGGUUGUAAAGCUCUUUUACCCGGGAUGAUAAUGACAGUACCGGGAGAAUAAGCGCCGGCUAACACCGAGGCAGCAGCCGCAGUAAGAC